UUUUGCGCAAUGGGGGAAACCCUGACGCAGCAACGCCGCGUGAAGGAUGAAGGCUUUCGGGUUGUAAACUUCUUUUAGCAGGAAAGAAACAAAUGACGGUACCUGCAGAAAAAGCACCGGCUAACUCUGUGCCAGCAGCCGCGGUAAUACAGAGGGUGCAAGCGUUAUUCGGAAUUACUGGGCAUAAAGAGCGCGUAGGCGGUCUGAUAAGUCUGAUGUGAAAGCCCUGGACUCAAUCCAGGAAGUGCAUUAGAUACUGUUAGACUUGAGUACAGGAGAGGAGAACGGAAUUCCUGGUGUAGAGGUGAAAUUCGUAGAUAUCAGGAGGAACAACAGAGGCGAAGGCGGUUCUCUGGACUGUAACUGACGCUGAGCGCGAAA
rnacentral:rRNA from 1 species